GGCUAGAGUUUUUAAGUACUCAGCAUCAGGUGAACUUGUUUCUAAAACGUCAAGGCAUCAGUCCUCGUUAAAAUCAACACAUGUGUUGUCUUGGAUGCCCCAGAUCAUUAGCAGCUUCAGAAAAUGCUAACCGAGUUUUUUGUUUUUCAGUCUUACUAAAACACAUUUUUGAGUUAUGAAAAAGAGCUCAGCCUCCUCCUAGAAGUAUUCUGAGCAGAAAAGGGAAUAUUUUGUAACUAAGGAAGACGGAAUGAACUGCAACAAGAGAUAGCUUUAUAUGGAUAUAGCCUCGAUUUAUCUUGUAUUACUGCUUAGGAGAAAACAACAGACCAAUUUUUGUGAUCUGAAGCUGUGUGCAGCCUCAUUGACCAUCUCCAAGCUCCAUCUAAGGCUGACAAAUGAGAAGGGUGUUGAAGAUGCAAAGACUAUGGAUCAGGCUCCAGCACCACUUUUGAAAAAUGCUAAUUGCCCAUACAUUCCCAAUGGAGGAGUGGUGGCCACACCACAGCCUGCUGCUGGAAGGGCGGGGAUGGGCUGGCUGUGCCCAAGAGUUUUCCAGGAGAAGCACUUGGACAGCACAGCUCCUGGUGCCUCGGCCAUAAAUCUUCUCUGGGAGCACUGCCUGCUUUAUCGACUCUGCCAUUUUCUCGCAGACAAUUCAACCUGCCCUGUUGCCUCUUGUAGAAGAAGAGAAACCAUGACUUGCUCUGGAGAGGGCUUAAGUUUUCUGUAACGUCAGGAUUAAAUGAGCAAAAAGGUUGAUAGGAUGAGAUUCUUUCAAGCUAGAGAGUGCUGCCAGCCUUCCACUAUCUGCAAAUAGAAAGUAGAGGGCAAUCAGAUUUUUACCCAUGUUUUUUGAGGGAAGGGAUAGAAAUAAUCAGUUUAAUAUGCAGCAAAGGAGAUUGAGAUUAGAUACUAGAGAAAUAUGUAUCAGAAAUAGUUAAGCUCUUGAGCAGACUGUUCAGUAACUGUCUGAAGCAUCUCUGUGGGAGACACAUCUGUAAAGGCUGGCCCUAAGGAGAUGGGGUCCUGCCUCCAGCAGAUGAUGUGGGUGCUCCAUUUGACUUCACAUUGGUUCAUGCUGGGGAGGUUAUGGGUGUUCAAUUAUCCGAAUUAAGUAGCUGCCAGUGAUUGUAAUCUUGGAGACUUCUGCUCUAUGGGUCAAGCGUGGACGGGACAGCACCGAGGAAAUGUGCAGCUGUACAGUUUUAGCUGAGCUUUGUUGCUGUCCUUACUACAUCUCCAGAGUUGCCCAUCUAAGCUUCACGGUGAGUGAGGCUUUCAGAUUUCCUGCAUUCUGGAGGCAGCACUCCUCAGGGCAAGCUGAGAGACACCAGCAGAGGUGAUCUUCACCACAAAGAAAUCUGUGACUGAGCUGUCACAUAGGGAAAAAUAUUUUCCUUGAUAAGAAAGGCAUCUCUCUGCAUCAAGAGAAAAUGGGGAGCUAGGAGUCAUACAGCAAUUGUAUAGAACAUCCAGAAAGUGCAUUAAUGAAGUACUUCCACUGUUCCAUGUUUUUCUGAUUUUGAGAACGUCACAUGUAGAACAGAAUCAUGCGGUUACUAAUUAUGACUACCAAAGUGCAAUUUGUAAUAAGACUAGCAGAUGUUUGCAGCACUAAAUAUGAAACAAAAGUCAGAUCAAGCCCAGCUCUUCCUGCCCAGUACGUAUACACUCCAGUCACAUAGGAUGUGUGUUUUUGUUUGGGACAAGUUAGUUCUCUUUCGCCUCAUGACAUGAUCUGAAAGAUGAGGUUGCAGAAGACUGUGAUAGUCCUUUUGCUCAUGCUGGGAUUUUGAUUUUGACUUCAGCUGGGCAAAGAGGAGCCAUUGAUUGCAAUGGGACAGGAUCAGACCUUCUGUUUUGUUUUAGUUGGGAUUUUAAAGGCUGUGUGAAAAUCAGAAAAGUUUGUUUUGACCAAAAUGCCUGUGAUGAACUGAGGGACAGUCAUUUGCACUCAUGUGAGAAGAGACCUGUGAAGAGCCAUCAAUCCUGCUUGUGACAGCUUAUUGACACUUGCUGGUCUUUAGGAUUUGUUUCUUAAAAUGCUAAUGCAGACGAGUUCCUGUCUGUUGUGGGAGAAUAUGGUGAAACUUUGUUAGAUGAGACGCUCUUGUGCAAAUAAAUGUUUCCUGUAAGAAAGCAUUUGGCUUGAAUCUUUUUUCUCUCUCUCUUUUUUUUUAAUCUCCUAAAUUGUUUCCCUAUGUCCUUAGUGACACCCUUAGAAAAAAAAAUAAAAAUUGAUCAUCAUAAAAAUAAAAGUCAAUCUCACGCAUGCCAGAGGCAAUUGGAUAUUUAUAAUAUAACCUACCAAGGAUGGGAGCACUGGAAUAAUAUACGUGAGUGAUGGCAUGAAGGAUGCUUUUCUGCACUGUUUACAUCUUGGGGGGCAGUAUCUGAAAAUCAGGGCCCUGCCUUUUCUCUAUGUGCAUUGACAAGCAUGUGGUGCUCUCCUAGGAGCUGGUUUGCCCCAGCAGCCCAGGCUAAAACAUUCCCUGCACUUUAGUUUUGCUGUGUGCUUCACUCAGCCCAUCUGGUCACCAUUCUGCACCCUGGGCAUGGCUGCAUUUAAUGGUGAAAUGAUUUCUGCAUGUAUACAGUUGGUAGAGUGUUUUGCAUACUGCAUGUGCUCAAGGUAUUACAUAUGAAAGGCAUUAUGUAAGAUUACAGGGAAAGAAAAAUACUCUCUUAAAAAUUGUCCGUAAUUGCCCAGAAUGCUCUUGUGACACCAUUUUUUGAUGCAGGAUUCUAAACGACGGCUCUGAAACUCUAUAGUCUUUAAUUUGCAUUUUAAAUUUUAUCCGCUAUGCAGUCCUUUGAUUUUGGUGUCAUUAUUGGCAUCUCAGAUGUCCCUCCUAGAGCCCAAACCUGUUGAGUCCAGUCAAACAAAGACAGCUUGGAAUAAACAAAAUGCACAAAGCUGAGAAGCUUGGGGACAUCAGGGUAAGACAGCCGUGCUGCUGAAAGUGUUCACUCCUUCAUAUGGCACAAACAUGCUGCAGCAGCAUCGUGCAAUCACUCUGCAUCCACCCCACUGUGUCCCACCACAACUGGAGCAAUGCAGCUUAUGCUGUGGGGAUGGAAAUCUCAGCCAAAAUAUGGGCAACACUUUGAGCUGUUUUUGUGAGAGUUCGGCUUGAAAGAAAAGAAGGCUGCAGAGCAGAACUAGGGCCCUGUUUGGUUAAAUUCAAGCUGUGUCCCUUUGCAGGUUUUGGAGCAAGGUUUCUUGAAUGCAAUCCGUGCACCCGCCCACCCGCACUUGUGCUGGAACAGGAAUGCUCCACUGGCUUUGCAGGGUUUCAGAGUCAUGCAUCAUUUCCAUCUAAAAAUAAUCCCAAAUGUGGUGUGGUAUUAUUGAAUCCAACUUUAACCGUGCUUCCAAGCAGCGCCUAGCAAAGAAGUGAUGCUGCAUCACAUUUUCGGCUCGGGCAGGAAGCCAGCACUAACUGCUGGCUAAUAGAAUUAUGGCCAAAAGUGCUGGGGGCUGCUCUGCACAAGCCAUGGGGCUCCAGGCUCCUUGGUGGGGCAGAGCAAGCUCCACCAACGUCUUUCUGUGCAUGGGAGGAGCCUAUGGUACGAGCACGUUUAAACACAGUCACUCAGAACCAGGCUUUUAUCAUAGAAUCAUAGCAUCAAUACAAUUGGAAAAGAGCAGUAAAAUCAUCCAGUCCAACCCCAACCCAACCCCACCAUGCCCACUGACCACAUCCCGCAGCAUCAAAUCUCCACGGUUCUUGAGCACCUCCGGGGGCAGUGACUCCACCCCCUCCCUGGGCAGCCUGUACCACUUCCUCACCACUCUUCUGGAGAGGAAAUGUUUCCUAACCCGAAUCUUUCCUGGUGCAACUUGAGGCCAUCACCUUCAUCACUAGAUAUCCGGUAGGAGAGAGCAAUGCCUACCACACCACAACCUCCUCUCAGGUAGUUGUAAAGAGCAAUGAUGUCUCCCCUGAGCCUCUUCUCCAGACUGAACACCCCCGGUUCCCUCAGCUUCUCCCCAUCACACUUGUGCUCCAGACCCCUCAAAGCCCCACUGCCCUUUUCUGGAAACACUCCAGGGCUCCAGUGUCUUUCUUGUAGUGAGGGCUCAGCACAGAACAUAUCACUCGAGGUGGUUUCUAGCGUAACCACAAUAACUUGUAGAUGUACUUGGCCACUGGGAGGCAAAUAAAAGCACUUCAAAAUUAACAGAGGGCCAAGGUGACCGGAGGUGGUCAAGGAGGCCUUGCAGCUGGGGCUGGAAGGCAGAGCAGGAGGCUGGGUUGGCUCCUCCAAGCCGCCGUCCCCACUUGACACCAAGGAGGAGCCGCGCUUGGAAAAAAUCAAUGGCAGAGUUUUGCCCUGAAUCAUUCACUCAGUUGGUGAAAGUCACAGAGAAAAGUCCUAAAAUUAUACAAUUAUAAUAAUAAAUCAAUUCAGCAUGUCAUUUCUGCUUUUCUACAUUAAUAAAUUAACCAUGUAACAUUGUUCAAAAUUAUGUCAGUUACGCAUAUAAUAAUCUUUUAAAUUAAUGAAGUGAUGAAGCAGUUUGAUGACACCCAUGAUUUACAGGGCUGCUUUUAGCUAAUGUUAAAAGCCUUUCAUUUAAUAAAUUGCCCCCUUGAGAAAUUACCAAAAAUGAAUAUUUUCUAUGCUAAAUGUUCCAAGGUUUACACUUUUUCAAUAUAUUAACAAAUGGCAUGGGAGAAGCAUUUUUCAAAAUAUAUCUUCCUUUACAUAUAUUUAAUUGAAAUUAAUUAGUGUAUUACUUUAGAAGGAAAUGAUCACAGAGAAAGGUGCAGGAUCAUUUAUGAGAGUUUCUUAUGGCAAUAAAACAGAAUUUAAACAAUGGAAUUAAUCACGUCCUUAAGAAAUUUUAUGAUAGAUUAGGAGUCAUUCCAAGCUUUUUGAUUAAAUAGAAGGACAAUCCAUACAGACUGGAAC
ensembl:lncRNA